GUGGCCUAGUGGUUAGAGCAUCUGCCUCUGAUGCAGGAGGUCGUGGGUUCAAACCCCCAGUACA